UGACAAACGCCUUCGCGUACUACCUUCAGGCACGGACUGAGAAGGAUGUGGAGAUUUUUGACCAGGUGAAACUGAAUAUCGACAAGGCACAGGAGAAACAGAAGGAGAGCUACCGGAGCAGAAUCAAGAAGGGGACCAAGUGCCACCGCAUCCAGGCAAAAAUGGUUACCUCGGUGGAAGCCAACAAUCUUAUCCAGUUGGAGCAGUUGGAUGGUUGACCACUGAAAGCCCUGAUGCCCUAAACUUCAGUGAAGCCCAAUAGACAAAGUAUGUUAAGCAUUUGUUGACAUUUGAGAAAGCAAGAAAUGGUAGUUUAUAAAAGAUAUACCUCUUCAAUUUACCUCCAAAUUACUUGAGGACCAUUGACUGUCCAAGCCCCACCAGAGCCAGUGCGUACGGAUCAGUCUGAUUCUCUGUGCUCUGAGUCGGAGGGGGACCAGUUUGAGGAUCUAGGUGUUCUGCCCAACACCCAGAUGGGGAUCCACCUGUCAUCCGUUACCAACCACCCUCCAACUUUUCAUUACAUCAGCUACAGCUACGGUUAUUGUCAUGUUGUAAUUAUCUGAUUAAAAGUUUUCUUGCACUAUCAUGCUGGGCACAUAAUAUGUGAGAUACACAGAUUACCUAAAAACACUAGCACUGCAAACACUCAGAACAAAGAGAGCAGCAGUGCCUGGACCUUGCAGUCUCCCUCUUCAAGUCUCCAUUCCGAGAUUGACCUGCCUGUUGAGAACAAGUGACAGGCGGAACCUCCGACCACGUCCUCUAUAUUCUACACAACAGAAUUCCGUAUUUUAGUCUAUGAUUGCCAUGUGUGCAAACAAAUAUGUGAAAAUGUA
ensembl:lncRNA